AUUGAACGCUGGCGGCAGGCCUAACACAUGCAAGUCGAACGGUAACAGGAAACAGCUUGCUGUUUCGCUGACGAGUGGCGGACGGGUGAGUAAUGUCUGGGAAACUGCCUGAUGGAGGGGGAUAACUACUGGAAACGGUAGCUAAUACCGCAUAACGUCGCAAGACCAAAGAGGGGGACCUUCGGGCCUCUUGCCAUCGGAUGUGCCCAGAUGGGAUUAGCUAGUAGGUGGGGUAACGGCUCACCUAGGCGGCGAUCCCUAGCUGGUCUGAGAGGAUGACCAGCCACACUGGAACUGAGACACGGUCCCAACUCCUACGGGAGGCAGCAGUGGGGAAUAUUGCACAAUGGGCGCAAGCCUGAUGCAGCCAUGCCGCGUGUAUGAAGAAGGCCUUCGGGUUGUAAAGUACUUUCAGCGGGGAGGAAGGGAGUAAAGUUAAUACCUUUGCUCAUUGACGUUACCCGCAGAAGAAGCACCGGCUAACUCCGUG
rnacentral:rRNA from 1 species